UGUGAGGAACAUAUGGUUUUAAAACAUCACAAUUGUUAAACAUUAAGGAUGUAAAUUCCUUGAGGGUUAUAGACUUCAAUGAUGGAUUGUUGUCCACAGUAUUGUCUUCAUAAAACCAAUGUGCGCACUCCACGAGAAACAAAAUCCUCUCAAAUGAUUGCUGAUCUUCUUUUGGCACGUUCAAAAUAAACCGACUGCAAAGAUCGUCAAUUAGUUCCUUCGGAGGAAGCCCAUUUUUCGAUGGAGCGCUAGAAGAUCGAUUCAGCCCUGACAUUCCCGAUACCUAAAAUUUUCAAAAAAAAAAAAGGAAUUUAUUAG
rnacentral:misc_RNA from 1 species